UUGCGCUAACAGUUUAAUAAGCUGAAAUUGACACUUAUGAUUCAGUUAUAACCCUUUCUUUUUGCUACCCUGCUAUCCAAAUUUAACAUGGGUCAACUUAUAUUUAAACUAUCUUGCUCCAUUCCUUGCUCAAUUUGUUAGAUUAGACGACAAAGAAGAGAAGUUUUGAUAGAAAUUUGGGGUGCAAAAAUUCGGUUAUCAAGAGGGAGAAGAAA
rnacentral:lncRNA from 1 species